rnacentral:rRNA from 1 species
UACAGAGGGUGCGAGCGUUGUCCGGAAUCACUGGGCGUAAAGGGCGCGUAGGUGGUGGCUUAAGCGUGCGGUGAAAGCUCGGGGCUCAACCCCGAGUCGGCCGUGCGAACUGGGCUCACUGGAGCAUAGUAGAGGCAGGUGGAAUUCCGGGUGUAGCGGUGGAAUGCGUAGAGAUCCGGAAGAACACCCGUGGCGAAGGCGGCUCUCUGGGACGGUACUGGACGCUGAGA